rnacentral:snoRNA from 2 species
CUCCUGUCGGGAUCGCACCUGGAGAAUUUCCAGUAUUCUACCAGUCUCUGCUACGGGAGGGAGAGUCAAGCAGAGGCAUAUCCAUUCCAUUCGUAGCUUGGGCAGUGGCUAGAGAGUGGGAAGGCAAUCUGCUACAAGU